rnacentral:rRNA from 1 species
CCUACGGGGGGCAGCAGUGGGGAAUAUUGCACAAUGGGCGCAAGCCUGAUGCAGCGACGCCGCGUGCGGGAUGGAGGCCUUCGGGUUGUAAACCGCUUUUGUUCAAGGGCAAGGCACGGUCUUUGGCCGUGUUGAGUGGAUUGUUCGAAUAAGCACCGGCUAACUACGUGCCAGCAGCCGCGGUAAUACGUAGGGUGCAAGCGUUAUCCGGAUUUAUUGGGCGUAAAGGGCUCGUAGGCGGUUCGUCGCGUCCGGUGUGAAAGUCCAUCGCUUAACGGUGGAUCCGCGCCGGGUACGGGCGGGCU